AUGGUUCCACAGCUUGGAGGUCUUCUUGCUGUUGACGGGAAACACAGCUUGAUGGUUUUUGGUGACCAUGGUCGGCAGGUUUGUCAACCGGGAGGAGGACGUUUCGGCGGAAGCCAGGGUGGCAUAGGGCGAGCUGGCCAGGCCGGCCCCCAGGAAGCCCUUCUGGCCCCCGGCCACCUCGGGGUGGCGCCUGUAGAGGUGCCGCAUGAGGCAACUGGUGCCCACGUCGCCCCGCUUGCCCCGGCUGAUGGCGCAGCCGCAGUGCCUGCACAGGGCCUUAAGGCUGUCCGUGGGCGCCAGCGAGAAGUGGUGCCACACCUCCGACUUCAGCCGCUUCAUCACCUUCUUGUUCUGCUGGAACACGGCGCCGGCUCCCGCGGCCGAGGGCUCGGCGCGCCACCCGGCUGCGUCUCGGGAGACGACCCCCACGAGGCCUCGCCGGCGUCGGAGGAGGGGGACGCCGCGGCCCCGUGGCCCCAGAGCACCGGCAGCUCCUCUGCCGGCCGGUCAGGGGAGGAGGCUGCGGAGGCGGGGUCCUGGAGCGCCCUCCCUGGAGACGCCGGCAGGGGGCCGGGCUCCGCGUCCGGCGGCUGGGCGGGCCCGAGGGCGGCGGCCGGGGCAGGCGCCUGGGCCGCCGCUCUCGCGCAGCACGAUGGCACGGUGCGCCCGCCACAUGUGCCUGAUGAGGCAGCUGGUGCCCAGGUCCUUCCCGUUCUUGCCGCGGCUGAACUCGUUCAUGCAGUGGACACACACGGCCUUGGAGCUGUCCAGGGGCGACAGGUAGAAGUGCUUCCAGACGGCCGACCGCCGGCGGGACCCGCACCCGCUCCGCGGCAGGGGCAGGUUCUUCUCCGCCCCGUUCUCGGCAGGCUCGCUGCAGUGCAGGGGGGGCGCGUGCGCGGGCGGCCCCGCCGGGCCCUCGUCCCGGCCGUACCUCUCCGAGGCCAGUGCGUCCGAGGCGGCCUCUUCGGAAGAGACCGCGGAGCUGGCCUCCUCCGUCGCCUGGAGGGGAGCCGGGCCUUGAGGUCGCCUGGGAGCAGCGGCCUCGGGUCGGCGGGCGGGGGCCCCGGGCGCGGCGCCGGGGCGGGGUCCCCCGCCAGCGCGGUGGGGUGCGCCCUCCGCACGUGCCGCAUCAGGCAGCUGGUGCUCAGGUCCUUCUCGUUCUUGCCGCGGCUGAACUCCUUCAUGCAGUAG
rnacentral:lncRNA from 1 species